CAGCCACAUCUGUGCAUUCCUUUCCAAUGGUGCCAUGAUGGAGAGAGGAAGCUUACACCACCAACUGACUGACCAAAGGCCGCACCCUGUUUGUCUGCAUGAAACCUGCUCUCGGUCACUGGCGUACGUUUGAGUGACAGGAAGAAAAGCUCUGAAAAGCUAUUGCUGAUGAUACACACAUACCAACAGGCCAUCAGUUGGAGUGGAUCUCCUGGCCCACAGUGCACCUGUACACAUCUCCUUUCCUGUUAUUGGGAGGUCCAUCCCAGGGAGCGCCAACCAGCAUUCUGCACCAAGGAGGAGUCAUGAAAUUGGUUACCGUCUCCCGGAAGAUCAACACGUUUCCGUCUGUAACUUACGAUUUCUCUCCCUCUGUUUCAAGCUGCAACACGGAGAAGCCAAAGAGGGAGUCAUCCGGGCCGCUAAAUAUGCGCGGAUGCUUGACGUCGAUGUUGAAGCACUGACACAAGCCUGGAGAAGCAAGAAAGAGUGACGAUUAUACUGAUCACUUAUAAAAUACUUAUAUGAGUAUUCA